UCCGUCACGAUCUCUCUCUCUCUCUCUCUCUCUCUCUCUCUCUCUCUCUCUCUCUCUCUCUCUCUCUCUCUCUCUCUCUCUCUCUCUCUAUUUCCCUCUCUCCCUCUCCCUUCAACAGAAACAGCUGGAGUUCGGAUCGGAUUUCGCAGGUGUGAAGCGGCUGGAGUUCGGAUCUGGAUCACUCAUAUUUGAAGGACCGACGCAUACACUUGUGACUCCCGAACUGUUGGGGCCCACAAGCAUUGUCAUCUCUAAGAUGAAGAUGUACUAGAGGGCCCCAAUGCAGACCAAAGAUCUUCUCAGCGUUUCACCGUUGUGUCCAACAACAACAAUAUCUCAAGUCAGUACGAUUCCCCCCUAAUAUCCAGGGAACAAGAUAGUAAGAGGGAAAAUAAUUCUUCUUUACUGAAGAUGCGGUCAUUAAUUAUUGAAAAUAAAACCUUGCCUCGUCCUCUUCGCAUUCGUCCCCCUACCAUUCAUGCAGGGGCCCUUCCUCUGCCUCGUCCUCCUGCCAUUCAUGCAGGGGGCCUUCCUCCUGGACAUCCUUGUGAAAAUUUCACACUUCCACCUCCACCGGCAAAUAGAAAACAGACUGGCCCACAUCGUAAGU